GCUCGCUUUGGCAGCACAUACUAAAAUUGGAACAAUACAGAGAAGAUUAGCAUAGCCCUUGCACAAGAAUGACACACAAAUUCGUGAAGAGUUCCAUAUUUCA
rnacentral:snRNA from 1 species